AACUCAUAUAAAGCAAUACAAACACUCCUUCCUUCACCAACACAAACAUUCACUCUCAAAGACAAGCUUCAAAAUACUGAGAAGAUGAAGAUGAGACGUGUAGCGGUUGGCGUAGUGAUGUUGUUCAUGAUUAUCAACACUUUGUUUGUUGCUGAUGGAAGGCACUUGAAGUUGCAACAACAAAGGGAUGAGAACCAAAACUUGGAACCCAAAAAGCACUAUGAAACUAAUGAAUACAAUCACCAUGGAUGCUAUAGAAGUGACUAUAAUUGUUGGAGUAACAGAAAGGAGACAAGGGAAUAGUGCUUCUUUUCUCAACAUAUAUAUAUAUAUAUAUAUAUGUUUGUUUAUGCAUGUAUGUUUUUGUUCAUGUUUUGUAUAAGUUUAAUACCCAUUUUUCUGGCUGGCUAGGGUUGGCUUAGAAAGAUGGUAUCUAACGAGGAUGUUUGGUAUGUAAUAUAUAUUUGUAGGUUAAUAAUGAAGGAUGCAUGCACCAUGUGUAUUUACGUUAUGGUUUA